rnacentral:rRNA from 1 species
UACAGAGGGGGCAAGCGUUAUUCGGAAUUAUUGGGCGUAAAGGGCGCGUAGGCGGCUUGGCAAGUGGAUGGUGAAAUCCCUCGGCUUAACCGAGGAACUGCCAUCCAAACUGCUUUGCUUGAGACCGGGAGAGGUGAGUGGAAUUCCCAGUGUAGCGGUGAAAUGCGUAGAUAUUGGGAAGAACACCAGUGGCGAAGGCGGCUAACUGGUCCAGCACUGACGCUGAGGUGUGAAAGCGUGGGGAGCAAACAGG